rnacentral:rRNA from 1 species
AGCGAACGCUGGCGGCAGGCUUAACACAUGCAAGUCGAGCGGGCACUUUCGGGUGUCAGCGGCGGACGGGUGAGUAACGCGCGGGAACGUGCCCUCUGGUUCGGAAUAACUCAGGGAAACUUGAGCUAAUACCGGAUACGCCCUUUUGGGGAAAGGCUUGCUGCCGGAGGAUCGGCCCGCGUCUGAUUAGCUAGUUGGUGAGGUAACGGCUCACCAAGGCGACGAUCAGUAGCUGGCCUGAGAGGAUGAUCAGCCACACUGGGACUGAGACACGGCCCAGACUCCUACGGGAGGCAGCAGUGGGGAAUAUUGGACAAUGGGCGCAAGCCUGAUCCGGCCAUGCCGCGUGAGUGAUGAAGGCCUUAGGGUUGUAAAGCUCUUUUAUCCGGGACGAUAAUGACGGUACCGGAGGAAUAAGCCCCGGCUAACUUCGUG